rnacentral:rRNA from 1 species
GGGGGCUAGCGUUGCUCGGAAUCACUGGGCGUAAAGGGUGCGUAGGCGGGCCUUUAAGUCAGGGGGGAAAUCCUGGAGCUCAACUCCAGAACUGCCUUUGAUACUGAGGAUCUUGAGUUCGGGAGAGGUGAGUGGAACUGCGAGUGUAGAGGUGAAAUUCGUAGAUAUUCGCAAGAACACCAGUGGCGAAGGCGGCUCACUGGCCCGAUACUGACGCUGAGGCACGAAAGCGUGGGGAGCAAACAGG